GACAGAGGGUGCAAACGUUGCUCGGAAUUACUGGGCGUAAAGCGCGCGUAGGCGGACCUGCAAGUCGGGGGUGAAAGCCCGAGGCUCAACCUCGGAACUGCCUUCGAUACUGCGGGUCUCGAGUCCGGGAGAGGUGAGUGGAAUUCCUAGUGUAGAGGUGAAAUUCGUAGAUAUUAGGAAGAACACCAGUGGCGAAGGCGGCUCACUGGCCCGGUACUGACGCUGAGGUGCGAAAGCGUGGGGAGCAAACAGG
rnacentral:rRNA from 1 species